GUUCCUCGAGUCGUUGAUUUCACACUGCCGAGAAAAGCCUCUAGCUAGAAUAACGGUGCCCGUACCGCAAACCGACACAGGUAGUCAAGAUGAGAAUUCUAAGGUGAGCGAGCGAACUCUCGUUAAGGAACUCGGCAAAAUGACCCCGUAACUUCGGGAGAAGGGGUGCUCUUUGAGGUUCACGCUUCGAAGAGCCGCAGUGAAUAGGCCCAAGCGACUGUUUAUCAAAAACACAGGUCUCUGCUAAACCGUAAGGUGACGUAUAGGGGCUGACGCCUGCCCGGUGCUGGAAGGUUAAGAGGAGUGGUUAGCGCAAGCGAAGCUACGAAUCGAAGCCCCAGUAAACGGCGGCCGUAACUAUAACGGUCCUAAGGUAGCGAAAUUCCUUGUCGGGUAAGUUCCGACCCGCACGAAAGGCGUAACGAUUUGGGCACUGUCUCAACGAGAGACUCGGUGAAAUCAUAGUACCGGUGAAGAUGCCGGUUACCCGCGACAGGACGGAAAGACCCCGUGGAGCUUUACUGUAGCCUGAUAUUGAAAUUCGGUACAGUUUGUACAGGAUAGGUAGGAGCCUUAGAAGCGUGAGCGCUAGCUUACGUGGAGGCAUUGGUGGGAUACUACCCUAAUUGUAUUGGAUUUCUAACCCGCAGCACUUAUCGUGCUGGGAGACAGUGUCAGGCGGGCAGUUUGACUGGGGCGGUCGCCUCCUAAAGAGUAACGGAGGCGCUCAAAGGUUCCCUCAGAAUGGUUGGAAAUCAUUCAUAGAGUGUAAAGGCAUAAGGGAGCUUGACUGCGAGACCUACAAGUCGAGCAGGGUCGAAAGACGGACUUAGUGAUCCGGUGGUUCCGCAUGGAAGGGCCAUCGCUCAACGGAUAAAAGCUACCCCGGGGAUAACAGGCUUAUCUCCCCCAAGAGUUCACAUCGACGGGGAGGUUUGGCACCUCGAUGUCGGCUCAUCGCAUCCUGGGGCUGUAGUCGGUCCCAAGGGUUGGGCUGUUCGCCCAUUAAAGCGGUACGCGAGCUGGGUUCAGAACGUCGUGAGACAGUUCGGUCCCUAUCCGUCGUGGGCGUAGGAAAUUUGAGAGGAGCUGUCCUUAGUACGAGAGGACCGGGAUGGACAUACCUCUGGUGUACCAGUUGUCGUGCCAACGGCAUAGCUGGGUAGCUAUGUAUGGACGGGAUAAGUGCUGAAAGCAUCUAAGCAUGAAGCCCCCCUCGAGAUGAGAUUUCCCAACUUCGGUUAUAAG
rnacentral:rRNA from 1 species